rnacentral:rRNA from 1 species
AGCAGCCGCGGUAAUUCCAGCUCCAAUAGCGUAUAUUAAAGUUGUUGCAGUUAAAAAGCUCGUAGUUGAAUUUUGGGUUUGGCCAAUUGGUCCGUUCUUGUAACGAGUACUGGUUGGUUGGGCCUCACCGCCUGGUGAUACGUAAUGUCCUUUAUUGGGUGUUGCGAGUAGCCAGGACCUUUACCUUGAAAAAAUUAGAGUGUUUAAAGCAGGCUUAUGCCGGAAUACAUUAGCAUGGAAUAAUAGAAUAGGACGAUGAUUCUAUUUUGUUGGUUUCUAGGAGCAUCGUAAUGAUUAAUAGGGAUAGUUGGGGGCAUUAGUAUUCAAUUGUCAGAGGUGAAAUUCUUGGAUUUAUUGAAGACUAACUACUGCGAAAGCAUUUGCCAAGGAUGUUUUCAUUAAUCAAGAACGAAAGUUAGGGGAUCGAAGACGAUCAGAUACCGCCGUAGUCUUAACCAUAAACUAUGCCGACUAGGGAUCGGGCGAUGUUGUUUCAAUGACUCGCUCGGCACCUUAUGGG